CAGUUGUCUGGCAUAACAGUCUUCACGUCUGAGAAGGGUCGCUUCAUUUCCAUCGAUUAGUCCACCACCGAGUCAAGUUCAUCCGAGAAUAACGGACUGGUUGGCAAGACGAUGGCACAAUGACUAAAUGAUAAUGAGUGAAUCUCUAUGCCCCCCUCCCCCAUGUACUGGAAGACUGUCUUCUCCUAUGAUAUCCUAUAGACCGGCUGGUAGAAGGACGUGGAUUGUCUCCUGGUUACCACUGCGCCAAAGAUCACACUACAGGUGCAUCACGAACGGGAAGUCUUGAGUGAGGACAUCAGCGAUGUCAACACGGGAGACGAUGGGUUCAUCUCCACUCGUCUCUGUCCUCCAUCAGUGAGCGUAGUUCUGCUGUGGUGAUGUUUCUGAGUCCAGCAGCCUACUUCAGUGUGUCGAUGAAGAUGACGCCCGUGACUACCAUCGUACUUUGCUGGGUGAACAUCGCCAGUGAACAUCAGGACCAAAAGAAAAUAAUCUAUGGUCCAUGGAAUGUGUUGUCCAUUUAAUGAUGCUGUUUAUGUGAAGAAUUCAUUGUAUUUCAUAUUGUUUUGUCUGUUGACACGGACGGUAUAGAUGGGAUGGGUGGUAGACGGACUAGGACUUAGCGUUAAACGAUUUGGGUCCUAGGCACUAGUGGUGAAAUUAGCGCACAAGUAGUUUUGGCAAACCGACGCUCAUCCUGACACAACUGCCGGUAGUUUAAUCUUAAUAUAUUUUCUUAAGAGUACACUCGGCUCAGGUAUGUAACGAAGAAAGACACAAUUCGAUUUUAAAAGAUUGUGAACAGUGAAGAAAAAUGAGGCUUAACAAGACUAAAUUAGACAGUCCUAAUCCAUAACUGUAGUCAGGACUUAAUCAAUAAACAAAUUGGAACAUUAGAUAGGCAGGGACAAAAAAAAAACUUAGCAAGACAGGGCAACAAAUAACUUUGCCUUCAUCACUUCUGGCUGUUCACAUUCCGUUCCAACAUCAUGAAUUUUCGAAUUACAAAACAACUGUAAGCUGAGUGAAACUCUCUGAACCUUUCUGCUUUGUCGUCAUUAUAUGGAGACUGUGAGUGGCUGUUGUCAGGAUGGCGUCUCAAUUUACCUCGGCAAUGGAGGCAACACCUUGACGCGGUGCCGGGGCUUCUUGUACCAAGUUUGCCUCUAGCAAAUUAUUGUUCACGUACGACUGACUCCCAGUGUGGUCACUUUUUUCUUAGCUUAACCUUUUGCUUUGAGUAUCUACCCAAAACAGUUACUAUCUGGACUUGACCUUCGAUACAACAUUGCAUUAAGUUGGGGCAUCUAUGUUUAUCAUUUUGUUACAUAUGUAUUUUCAUCUGUACUUCCUUUAUAUUGGAUUCACGUUUAGCAUCAAAAAAGUUCAUCUAUGUUGGUAUUAUGACAAAAAGGGCUAAACGUAGACCAACACUGAGUAAAUUGGGACUUACCCUAAUUUGGGAAACUCCCAAUUUACUCAGUGUUGGUCUGGACGUUUAGCCCUUAUUGUACAUGGAUUCACUUUUGUUAAUUUAUCCUCCGAGUACUGUUCAUAUAAUUGUAGUAUGUAUAUAUUCAUGUAUACAAUUGAUAUACCAUGACAACAUGCUAUUUUGUAUGUCUGCAAUGUUGGUAUGGAAAUAAAGAAUUGA